rnacentral:lncRNA from 1 species
CACCACCUUGAUCAAGCUCCUCAAAUCCACCAAGAUGGCUGACCAAAUCAACACCCAGCUCAGCACCUCAAACCAAGGCAUGACCCUCUUUGCACCAACUGACAACGCCUUCUCCAGCCUCAAGGCCGGCACGCUAAACUCCAUCUCCGAGCAGCAAAAGCUGCAGCUUGUGCAGUUCCAUGUGCUACCAUCUUUCUAUUCUGCUGCGCAAUUCCAAACCGUGUCCAACCCUCUGCAUACGCAGGCCGGGAACACCGAUGAUGGGCAGUUCCCGUUAAAUGUGACCACAUCUGGGAACCAAGUGAACAUAACAAC